rnacentral:rRNA from 1 species
UACGAAGGGGGCUAGCGUUGCUCGGAAUCACUGGGCGUAAAGGGCGCGUAGGCGGCUAUAUAAGUCGGGGGUGAAAGCCUGUGGCUCAACCACAGAAUUGCCUUCGAUACUGUAUAGCUAGAGACCGGAAGAGGUAAGUGGAACUGCGAGUGUAGAGGUGAAAUUCGUAGAUAUUCGCAAGAACACCAGUGGCGAAGGCGGCUUACUGGUCCGGUUCUGACGCUGAGGCGCGAAAGCGUGGGGAGCAAACAGG